rnacentral:rRNA from 1 species
UCCUACGGGACGCAGCAGUAGGGAAUCUUCCGCAAUGGACGAAAGUCUGACGGAGCAACGCCGCGUGAGCGAAGAAGGCCUUCGGGUCGUAAAGCUCUGUUGUCAGGGAAGAACAAGUAUCGGAGUAACUGCCGGUACCUUGACGGUACCUGACGAGAAAGCCACGGCUAACUACGUGCCAGCAGCCGCGGUAAUACGUAGGUGGCAAGCGUUGUCCGGAAUUAUUGGGCGUAAAGCGCGCGCAGGCGGUCCUUUAAGUCUGAUGUGAAAUCUUGCGGCUCAACCGCAAGCGGCCAUUGGAAACUGGGGGACUUGAGUGCAGGAGAGGGAAGUGGAAUUCCACGUGUAGCGGUGAAAUGCGUAGAGAUGUGGAGGAACACCAGUGGCGAAGGCGGCUUCCUGGCCUGUAACUGACGCUGAGGCGCGAAAGCGUGGGGAGCAAACAGGCUUAGAUACCCUGGUAGA